rnacentral:rRNA from 1 species
AUUGAACGCUGGCGGCAGGCCUAACACAUGCAAGUCGAGCGAGCGGCGGACGGGUGAGUAAUGUAUGGGGAUCUGCCCGAUAGCGGGGGAUAACUACUGGAAACGGUGGCUAAUACCGCAUACUAGCGGCUGGACCCAUAUUGGAUUAGCUAGUCGGUGGGGUAAAGGCUCACCUAGGCGACGAUCCCUAGCUGGUCUUAGAGGAUGACCAGCCACACUGGCACUGAGACACGGUCCAGACUCCUACGGGAGGCAGCAGUGGGGAAUAUUGCACAAUGGGGGCAAGCCUGAUGCAGCCAUGCCGCGUGUAUGAAGAAGGCCUUCGGGUUGUAAAGUACUUUCAGCGCGUAGGCGUUGCUCGCAGAAGAAGCACCGGCUAACUCCGUGCCAGCAGCCGCGGUAAUAC